rnacentral:rRNA from 1 species
UACGAAGGGGGCUAGCGUUGCUCGGAAUCACUGGGCGUAAAGGGUGCGUAGGCGGGUCUUUAAGUCAGGGGGGAAAUCCUGGAGCUCAACUCCAGAACUGCCUUUGAUACUGGUGAUCUUGAGUCCGUGAGAGGUGAGUGGAACUGCGAGUGUAGAGGUGAAAUUCGUAGAUAUUCGCAAGAACACCAGUGGCGAAGGCGGCUCACUGGCCCGGUACUGACGCUGAGGUGCGAAAGCGUGGGGAGCAAACAGG